UGGGGAAUCUUGCGCAAUGCGCGACAGCGUGACGCAGCAACACCGCGUGGGGGAAGAAGGCCUUCGGGUUGUAAACCCCUUUCAGGAGGGACGAAGGCCGGCCGGUGAACAGCCGUGCCGGUUGACGGUACCUCCACAAGAAGCCCCGGCUAACUACGUGCCAGCAGCCGCGGUAAUACGUAGGGGGCGAGCGUUGUCCGGAAUCAUUGGGCGUAAAGCGCGCGUAGGCGGCCCGAUAAGUCCGCUGUGAAAGUCAGUGGCUCAACCACUGAAUGCCGGUGGAUACUGUCGGGCUAGAGUCCGGAAGAGGCAAGUGGAAUUCCUGGUGUAGCGGUGGAAUGCGCAGAUAUCAGGAGGAACACCAAUAGCGAAGGCAGCUUGCUGGGACGGUACUGACGCUAAGGCGCGAAAGCGUGGGGAGCGAACAGGAUUAGAUACCCCCGUAGUCC
rnacentral:rRNA from 1 species